GAAUAUUUAUUUUCAAAGCAAUAAACACACUCCAGUGAAAUUACAGGUCUAAUGAACACUGAACCUCGCUUUGUGUCUGUGCUGAAAGCAGGCGUAGGUCCCAUGGACACUGAACCUCGCUUUGUGUCUGUGCUGAAAGUAGGCGUAGGUCCCAUGGACACUGAACCUCGCUUUGUGUCUGUGCUGAAAGCAGGCGUAGGUCCCAUGGACACUGCACCUCGCUUUGUGUCUGUGCUGAAAGUAGGCGUAGGUCCCAUG